AUUGAACGCUGGCGGCAUGCCUUACACAUGCAAGUCGAACGGGAACGCGGGGCAACCUGGCGACGAGUGGCGAACGGGUGAGUAAUGCAUCGGAACGUGCCCAGUAGUGGGGGAUAGCCCGGCGAAAGCCGGAUUAAUACCGCAUACGACCUACGGGUGAAAGCGGGGGACCGUAAGGCCUCGCGCUAUUGGAGCGGCCGAUGUCAGAUUAGGUUGUCGGUGGGGUAAAAGCCUACCAAGCCGACGAUCUGUAGCUGGUCUGAGAGGACGACCGGCCACACUGGGACUGAGACACGGGCCAGGCUCCUACGGGAGGCAGCAGUGGGGAAUUUUGGACAAUGGGGGCAACCCUGAUCCAGCCAUGCCGCGUGCGGGAAGAAGGCCUUCGGGUUGUAAACCGCUUUUGUCAGGGAAGAAACGCUCUGGGCUAAUACCCCGGGGUAAUGACGGUACCUGAAGAAUAAGCACCGGCUAACUACGUGCCAGCCGCCGCAGUAACAC
rnacentral:rRNA from 1 species